AAGUUUUCUUCUGAGAAAAUGAAGCUUCAAGCAUUUGCUUCUUCUAACAUAAUGGGGCUUUUAAGUUAUCAUCUGAAUGACACGAACUGCUGGAGAACUGCUCUGGGGGAUAGCAGAGCAUCACUCCCAGUGACAACAGAGCUUCCAGCAGUCGGAAGCAGCGAGGCAGGAGAGGUGGGUGGCACUUGUAGGAGGAAAUGUUUUUGAAGUGUAGGAUAUGCUUCUUCUAGUUCUGUCUAAUCCUGUCCAGUGGGGUUUAGGACAGGGACAGUUGGUGUUUAGAUGAUGUCUGUGUGAGAGUGCUGUAGGUGUACCUUUGUCACCAUCAAAUCAAAAGUAAGUAAAUACCCAUGGAUACAUUUAAAAGAAAAAAAAAUAUGUCCAAUCAAGGGCACAGUACUUCAGGUUUAUCAACUGAAUGAGAGAGUUGGGGCUGUUCAGCCUGGAGAAGAGAAGGCUCUGGGGAGAGCUUGUAGAGAUGGAGAGGGUCUUUGGACAAGGGCCUGGAGUGACAGUGGAGGGAAUGGCCUUAAGCUGCAAGAGGGUAGGUUUAGAUUAGAGAGUCGGCACAAUUCCUUUCCUGUAAGGGUGCUGAGGCCCUGGCCCAGGUUGCCCAGAGGAGCUGUGGCUGCCCCAUCCCUGGAAGUGUCCAAGGCCAGGCUGGAUGGAGCUUUGAACAACUUGGGGUAGCGGAAGUUGUCCCUGCCCAGGGCAUGGGGAGAGAAGUGGCUGAUUUUUAAGGCCCUCUCUAACCCAGCCCAUUCCAUGAUUCCAUAUUCAGAGCUGCAGUGCAGUGACACUUUGCACUUAUCUCUGCUUUCCUACAGGCACGUCAGCAAGAACAGGCUGAGGGGACAAGAGCCAGCCACAAGGAGAGAGAAAAUCAGAUUGUCAGAAAUUGUGCCACGGUUCUCAACAAGGAAAUUCAAUUCUGGAGACAUUCCAGGAGACAAUCAAACUUUGACUGUGACCAUUAGCAGCUAUUGUGGUGAAGUAGGUAUAGCUCUGUGCAGUAAGGCACUGCAGUUGAUGUCCCUGCAUUUGGGGUGGGAAGGCAACAGUUGCUUAAAACUAGUUCUGGAUCCUGUAGGUUCAAAAACCUUACUGCAACGAGGGUACAUCAGAUGGGUUAGUUGA
rnacentral:lncRNA from 13 species